UCAGAUAAGUCAGAAAUCUGAGUCCAUAAUGAAAUACAAAGUAUCGAAUCAUCAAAACUUUGUUCCUUUGCCCAUAUUUCUCUUGUAACACUAAAUAUACCUGCUAUGAUAGGUUGGUUAUAUGUAAUUUUUGGAGUUGCUAAGAAGUUGCUGCCUCCUUUUAAGGGAGACAUUUAUUUGGAGCAUGUGGUUCAGUGUAUGUGAAGCCAGAACAAAUCCCCCUACAAAAUCUCCCCAGUAAUCUUCCCAGAACACUGGACUAAUAUAUUUCUCAGCGUAUAUACCUUUCAAACUCAAUGAGUUUAGGUGGUAAAGUGAUCUUUCUACAGUGUUUAUACUAUUUCUAGGGCCAUAGUACCCAUUUGACUCUUAAUGUUGGACUGUAGUUUAUUUUUUUCUUAACCCAUAUUGCACAAGAAUCACAUUCAUAGAGGAUAAGGGGAACGUUGUAAAAUCCAAAUGUUCCUCAAGCAUUUCCAAGAUGAGGUUUCGACAGCUUUUUACCGUCAUGGGUUUUUUUUAUUUUUUGGAACUCAGUUGAUAGCCACACCUUCCCUUUCAGUGAAGAACCACAAGAAAGAAAGGCAGAUCAUUUAAGUGGCCCUUGGUGGGGGUGGAGCUUAUUUAUUUAUUCUGAAGGCCCCUCUGACCUACAGAUUGCAGGCAGCCACAUGCCAUCUCUAACUCUGAUUUUCAUUGUGCACUCCUUCCGAGAAUCCUCCCUGGACAGUUUCAGAAGCCAUCUGCCCUACCAUGGACUUCCUUGCAGAUUUGAAGAAACUGGCAGCUCCUGUCUGAGUGACCCGUCCUUUGGAAUGAAGUGCAUUUGGCAAGGUAGCUUUAUUCUGUGGAUUGUACUGCAGAUGCAACAAAGGUCAAGUGACUGAGCAAAAGGAAAUGCUGGAUGCGGAGAGGAUGAUGAAGCACCUAAUUGUGGAUAGGAAAACCAAAGACUUGAGGAGACCAAGGAUCCCCUGAUGGGAAAAACAUGUUUUAGAUUCUUUUAUCAUUGCUAAAGAAAAUAGAAAGAGUUCUCCCUUUCCAGGCUUGGGAAGUGACUUGUCGACCCUGUCCUGAGAGCCUGCUCGAGAGGGUUGGCAAACUUUCCUGGUCCUGCUGUGAAUCCCUCAGGCUUGUGAGGGACGACAGAUGGUUGAGCUAAACUCGGAGCCACCCUUCUACAUAAUGAUGAAAAAUGACCAGCCUCCUGGGUUCUCUAGGUUCUUUGCUGCUGGUACCUGGACCAGGAGAAGAAGUUUGUGAAGCAGGAGAGAGCCUCAAAGGAUGAGGCAGGACACAACAGAAGCUCAUCACGUUCACUGCUAACCAACUACAAACCAAUCAGUGAAUAACCACCCUAUUUUCACUUUGCUUUCUGCACUGUGUGGAAGGAUAUUCUCUUCUCAGAAACGAGUGUGAGGAAUAGAGAGCAAGCACUCACUGGGUGGAACUUGCCGAAAAGUGAUGAUAAAUAAUAGGAGGAAACCCCUUCUGCUAGUAAACAACAACAUUAAGCCAAUGGGCUUUCAGAUUCUACUUUAGAGUAAAGACUCUUGUUAAAGCUUGUACCCAUUAAUUUCCUCCCCUGCCACUGAUUGUCCACUGUUACUGUGGGUCUUGCCGAUUCAGCAGAAGUCAUCCAGUGAAUGAGGAAAUCACCUGGAUAAGCUGAUUGAUUCAGCAGACCUUUAGGUACCUACCAUUUGCUGGGAACUCGAGAUACACAGAGAACCUCAGGUUGUGCAUAUAUAUAGUCUGAUAGUGGGAGAGACAGUCCCUACCAUGAUUCUCUUUGUAUUGGUGACAUAAUUGUUAAUCUGAAUCACCAAUGCAAAUAUGCAGUUAACUAGUAAGACACAGCCCCUUGUGAGAGCACGUUUGCAUUUCAGUGAUGGGAAAGCAAGAACACCAUUAAGGUGGCAGAGGACUUCAUGGUGGUAUAGGCAAACAGGUAUCACCUUGUGGGGGGAAUCUUUAUCAUCACCAAGAGCCAUUUGCUCAUAUAAGUAUCAUUUUCUAAUAAAGAAGAUAGAAGACCCAAGCAAGAGGGGAGGAGUUUAUAAACUCGAGGCUGUUCAUUCAUUCUACAAUGUUGGUUGAAAGUAUAUGCCAUGUCAGGCUUUACCCUAGGGCCCAAGUAUACAGUGAAGAGCACACACGGUUCCUACCUUAACGAAUAGAGUAUGUUUGCAAAUAAUCAAAAUAAUAAUUGAUGUAUUAAUUGUGAUAAAUGUUUCAAGGGGAACAAAACAGAGACUGAAAUAAAUAGAAAAGCACUGGCAGAGGGUGAGAAUGGAAGCUAUUUUACAAAGAAUAUUGGGACACCGAGGCUCCUUCCACAGUUUGGCUAUUGUGGCCAUUGCUGCUGUAAACAUCGGGGUGCAGGUGUCCCGG